CCUACGGGAGGCAGCAGUAGGGAAUAUUGCUCAAUGGGGGAAACCCUGAAGCAGCAACGUCGCGUGAAGGAUGAAGGUUUUAGGAUUGUAAACUCCUUUUGUUAGAGAAGAUAAUGACGGUAUCUAACGAAUAAGCAACGGCCUACUCCGUUCCAGCAGCCGUGGGAAAUUGGAGGGUGCCAGCGUUACUCGGAAUCACUGGGCGUAAAGAGCGCGUAGGCGGGAUAGCAAGUCAGAUGUGAAAUCCUAUGGCAUAACCAGAGAACUGCAUUUGAAACUGUUAUUCUAGAGUAUGGGAGAGGUAGGUGGAAUUCUUGGGGUAGGCGGAGAAUCCGUAGAGAUCAAGAGGAAUCCUCAUUGCGAAGGCGACCUGCUAGAACAUUGCGUACGCUGAUGGGUGAAAG
rnacentral:rRNA from 1 species